ensembl:lncRNA
AUGUGGAGAUAUGCCUGGAUGAGGAGGGGGUGUGUUCUGCCUCGUUCUGAGUGGGAUCGCACACACAGGAGGAUGGCGCUGUGUUUGGAUGCUAAUAACUGUUUCUGCAGUGACACGCAACACCUGCUGGGGAAGGAAGCCACAAAGAGGAGACACCUCCGCAGGAGGGGCUAUGAGGCAAAUCCAUUUUUUUUCUCUCCUUACCAACAGGAUCUCUUCUGUUUUUCUCUAACAGAUCCCUUACUUUGAAUUUGAGAAGCUGAGAACUCAGAAGGAAAAGGUCCAAUAUCUUCAAAACAAGAUCUUUCCCACCAUCGUCAAGUUCAAACACUGAUCUGUCACCUCAGUACAAGCUCUUCAGUGAAUUUUUAAUGGUUGACCUGUACAAAUCAUCCCUCCUUCCAAAGAACCGGAAGGAAACGUAUGAAGAAGAUAAAAGUCUUGCCCAAAAAACAGGGAACAGUGUAGUGUGUGGUAAACGGCCUCAGCACACAUAUCCUAAUAGGAGGAUACUAAUCAUAUUGUCCUGAAAAAAAGGCAGAUUAAAGGCAUGUAGGUGCCCAACAACCUAGGCAUAAUUUAACUGAACUUACUGUAAAAUAAUUGUGAUCAUCAUGCCAUUUUUGUGUCUUCCCUUUUGCCCUCUUCUUUUGGUCAUUUUAUAACACAACCUGCCUCGUUUUGAGCAUCAAAAUAAAAAAGGUCAAUAAAGUUAAACACAGAUUUAUUUUAAACUGCAAGGCAUCUGAUAUCAAAGCAGUCUAUUGAGCGAAAGCAGAGUCUGUAAUUUUCUUCUAUGAAGUUAAAAAACUACCAAGAUGAUGAAUGAAAUCACAAUCCAGCUCCUGACAUUGUUCGCAGCUGGAACACUUACUUCCCUGGCCAUUUGAACGACUAUACAUCUUCGAUUUGCAGCUCUAUGACCUGAAUGUAGUAUUCUAUAACUAGUCACACUGUGCUCCCUGGAAUCGGUGGUAAAGUCAAUCUUUGAAAUCUAAUUCUUGCUUAUUUAUAUUCUGCUGUGACUUGUCAAAUGAUAGUUAUUUAUAGUUUGUAAUUAUUGUUUAUUUAUGCUACUGGACAAGAUGUUCGAAUUAAAAAUGAGAUGCACAAAUGUGUGACAUGGAAUAUGCCUUUAUUUGACGUUUUGAAAAUAUACCAUAAAUUUGCCUCACAUCGUGCUAUUCAUUUUAAAGAUGUAUAAUGUGAAAAAAAUAUAGAAAAGAUUUACCACUAACAGGCGAUGAAUAACAGCUACAGUAUGACUGCUAUUUAUCAGACAGACAGCAACACGGAAAAAGUGUAAUCAUGUCCUAACGUUGAAAAAUAUUCCGUAAAUGGAUGUUGUAGGCAGCGCUGUAAACAGUGAUAUACUAGUAUAUAGUGCAUCGCUGUCAGGUGGCCUGUUGAAUCAUUGCCACAUUGUGAAUUUCAUGUAUUUCAUUAACUUUCCAUUAAAAACAAUCAGAUGAUGGAAGUUUUCAGAUGCUCAUACUAAAGUGUCACUUAGAAAUAUAUUUCAUUGCAACAUCACUUCUGAAAUAUUUAUGGAUUCAGUAGUAGAUGAAGCACAAAGACAUGGGCAUAGGAUGGUGAGACGUGAAUAGAACUGUUUUAAAAGGAUAUUAAAACAAUGGAUGGUGGCACUUGGAGGGACAAAAGAGCUACAAGUAGUCCAUCAAGGCAACGUGAUCGUUGAAGGAAUCAGUGAGAGUGGGUCGUGGGCAAUAAGCACGAUUUCUAUGAAAACGAUGAG